AGCCUAAUAAAAUCUUUUCAUUCAGCGCGCCUCUGUUUUCCCCCCAAUUUUCAAUUCCCUCGUUUUUCCCUCAAUUUCCUAUGUGGUCCUCGCAUCUACUACCUCUUCCUCUCCUACUCCACCGUCACCUCCGAUCUCCGCCGCCACCAACACACCGCCUCGCCGCUCAAUGGAUUGACUUUCUCUGGAUAUUCCAAUUUUUUCGUUUCCAUUGCUUAGAUCUUGUCGAUUUUUGUAUUUCAUGCUCCGAUCGUAAUUUUAGAAUUGAGAUUUUUCUACUUGUGUUGCAGGUAGUUUUGCCUUUUUUGAUUCUGUUUUGCUCAAGCAAUGACUCGAUUUCAUGUAGUUUUGGUUACUGACAGUUUCGAUUUGGAUUUGUGUUGUGGUGGAUGUUGCUUGAAUGUUUAUGACUUUUGGUUACUGAAUGUUUGUGUUGCAGGCUGAUUAUAAAGAAUCUGCUACAUUGGAAACUGAUGGCAUUAAUCCAUGGGACACCUCUACUCUGAAUGACCUUUUGAAGAAGAUAAAUCAUUUAAUUGCAAAAUUUUGACGUGAGACAUUUUGAUACUUUGUUAUCUACAUGCUUAAAUUUAAUGCAUCUGACAAAAAUCAUGUUCCCUUACACGUCUUUAAAUACAUUUCAGAGUUUCUCGAUGAGCUAGGUUAUUAUUUAUUUCCAUAAGCUGCUUCCUUGGACAAAAGUUUCAGUUUAUCUUGCAAACAAUUGCUCAUGGUUUAACUUAUUCUUCCCUGCAUCAUGGAAGCUAACACUGUUUGAAGGAGCUCUAGACAAUUUAGGGAGCUUGAAACAACAAUGUAGAACAAAGCAACAGCGAACAAGAGGAGUUCACUCUUCUGAUGUUCUCUGGAACGCCUAUCAGACCAAGAUUCAGAUGCCAUGCAGAAAUAAUCUUGACUCUUUGAACUAUUACAUUUAGUUUAACGAUUGAAGGGUUUGUAAACUCUGGCCCUUUGUCUGAGAGUCAUGGUAAUGCUGGUGCUCUAGACUUCCGUAUUACAGUUCCUUCAAUUCAAUCUGAGAAAGUUGUUUGUUGUAGAGUUUAUGAUUAAAGAAAAUUUAAAUAUGUAUGUGCAACUAGUUACUAACACCAAUUAGAUAGUUAAGAAGAAAAAUAAGUAGCUUUUGAUGUUAACUAGUGCUUCUGGUUUUUGGUUCUGUGUGGAGGCUAAUUUUACUGCUAUUAUUCGGUAUUGUAUAUGUGCAGUGUCUGUGUCUGUAACUGUUGCGUCUUCUUUUCGGUAAUUUUCUGUUGCUUACAGCCUCAAGGAUGCAGCUCUGCUGUGGUUUUUUUUUGUUGCUGCUAGGCCUGGCUCGUGUACGGCAUUUACAUUGCUCUUUAUAAUUUGUUAUCAUCUUUGCUGUCAGUUUGU